GCUUGCUCCGGUGACCCGAGUGGCGGACGGGUGAGUAACACGUGACCAACCUACCUUCGGGAGGGGGACAACCUGGGGAAACCCGGACUAAUACCGCAUAUCGUCCACGGGCCGCAUGGCCUGUGGAUAAAAGGGAGCCUCUGCUUGCACGCUCUCACCCGAAGAGGGGGUCGCGGCGUAUCAGCUAGUUGGUGGGGUAACGGCCUACCAAGGCGACGACGCGUAGCGGGUCUGAGAGGACGACCCGUCACAUUGGGACUGAGAUACGGCCCAGACUCCUACGGGAGGCAGCAGUGGGGAAUAUUGCGCAAUGGCCGAAAGGUUGACGCAGCGACGCCGCGUGUGGGAGGACGCCCUUCGGGGUGUAAACCACUGUCAGGGGGGAAGAACUUCGCAGGUGUGAAUAGCGCUUGCGGUUGACGGUACCCCCAGAGGAAGCGCCGGCUAACUCCGUGCCAGCAGCCGCGGUAAGACGGAGGGCGCAAGCGUUGUUCGGAAUUACUGGGCGUAAAGGGCAGGUAGGUGGUCUGUUAAGUCUUCUGUGAAAAUCCGGGGCUCAACCCCGCGAAAUGCAGGUGAAACUGGCAGACUGGAGACCGGUAGAGGCUAGCGGAAUUCCUGGUGUAGCGGUGGAAUGCGU
rnacentral:rRNA from 1 species